GUGAAAUAUUUUAGGAUUCGAAAAAUCCGCGAUAACGAUUCGAUAAGAUUACGUUUAUGAUCAUUUGUCUUAUCUGAAUCGUUGUCGUCGUACCUAGGUUGAAUUUGUUAUUUCAGUCGUCCGCCGGAGUUCUUUUAUUGAUGUGUUCUUUAACGUGUAUGAAUAAUGAAGUAUGUAUAUUCAGUCACAACAAGGAAAACUUUUCCUACAGUUAAAUAGUUUCUUAUAUCGGAAAGAAAAAAUACAUAAAGAUGUCGAAUAUUGGCGAUGUAUAGACAAACUAUGUACAGGGCGUUAGAAUUUAAAAAACGAAGAAAUUAUUAAUGACCCUUCUAAUCAUAAUCGUGUUGCCGAUAUAAUUAAAAAUCAAGCCAAAUCAUGACCCAAAUUUUUCUAUUCAGAUUCGUUUACUACCAGCACUUGCGUUUGUUCCAAAAAAUGACGUAGAAAAAGCAUUUGAGGAACUUUUAGAUAGUGAAUACUACAAGGAACAUGAGGAUUUUCUUCAACCAAUAGUAGACUAUUUUGAAAAUACAUGGAUAGGCAGACCAACUCGAAGACAGGGAAGAAGAAAUUCAAUAUUUUCAAUUCAGAUGUAGAAUUGUUAUGAAGCAAAUAACAAACGAAUAACUCUAUUGAAGGCUGGAAUAGAGGCUCCAAUUCAGUUAGGGUCGUAUAAUCCAACAAUUUGGAAGUUUAUAAAAGCCCUUCAAAAUCAAUAGACUUUAGUGGAUAUGAAGUUACAUCAAAUUAAUAGUGGCAUACGUAC